GACGAUUGUUGACUGAGUGGCGGACGGGUGAGUAACGACGUGGGUAACCUGCCUUGUACAGGGGGACAACAGUUGGAAACGACUGCUAAUACCGCAUAAGCGCACAGCUUCGCAUGAAGCAGUGUGAAAAGUUUUUUCGGUACAAGAUGGACCCGCGUCUGAUUAGCUAGUUGGUGAGGUAACGGCCCACCAAGGCGACGAUCAGUAGCCGACCUGAGAGGGUGACCGGCCACAUUGGGACUGAGACACGGCCCAAACUCCUACGGGAGGCAGCAGUGGGGAAUAUUGCACAAUGGGCGAAAGCCUGAUGCAAGGCGACGCCGCGUGAGCGAAGAAGUAUUUCGGUAUGUAAAGCUCUAUCAGCAGGGAAGAUAAUGACGGUACCUGACUAAGAAGCACCGGCUAAAUACGUGCCAGCCGCGGC
rnacentral:rRNA from 1 species